UGAUACCAUGUAAGAUUGGAUACUCUCACCAUAAAUUGUGUGUGAGGUGGACAAUAUUAUUUAUAUUA
rnacentral:pre_miRNA from 1 species